rnacentral:pre_miRNA from 1 species
UUAACUCGACUUUGUAUGGAGUUGGAACAGCUUCCCUUCGUUUGUCGCUAGGGGCGCUGCUCCUAUUCCAUACAAAUUUUAAUUA